CCCCGUGCGCCGCACACAGCCCCCUCCCUCGUUUUUUUUCUGUUCUUCUUUUCUCUUCUUUUCUCUUCUUUCUUCCUUUCCCCAGCCGCCCCCCAAUUUCUUUUUCCUCUCUUUUCCGUUCCGUCCAAACCCAGUCGGCCACACAAGCUGCCGGUCGUCCCUUUCUUUUUCUUUCCGGCCGUCCUUCUUUUCUUCUUCGGAUCUAAACCGCCGCGCCCAUCCGCCUGUAACCGCUGUGUCUCUCCGCUCACAACCGUCGCGCCUCCCUCGGAAAGCAAGUUGUCGUCCAGAUCUGCAUCGCCGUGCCGUCCAAGUCCUCGCCGCCGCUCGUGCUUCACCCUUGCAGUUCGCCGUAACCCAGAUCCGUCGCUGUCCGAUCUCUUCUCCUCGUUCCGUCGCCGCUGACUCCACCUUGUUCUACGGUCUCUUGUUUAGGUGUGGAAGGUAACAUUGGGUCACUUGAAUUCACAACCAAUUUGUGAAUUUUGAAUUCGGUUCGCCCACAUUUGGUAAGCAAAAAAAUCUACUUUGAGGAAAGUAAGUGAGAUAUGUAUCGUGAAAGUAAUGCGUGCUUAGGAUUGUUUCAUGCACCUUAGUUGAUUAAGGAGCUUCCCUAACUUUGAGGUAAGAGAUUUUCAAGAAAUUCAAGAUGUGUUGACUGUAUGAAUCAUGAAUCAUAACGUUAUAUGUGUAUGCACUAAGGCGCAUUGGUCUUCUGGAGCCUAGGUGCAAGGCGCAAAAAAAAGCGCGAGCUUUUUUUCAUAAGGGGCACUAUAUAUAAAAAGAGAAGAAAAUAUAUAUAUACACACAUAUAGCAAAGCAACAAUGUAUAAAAUAUAGGUACCCAAUAUAAGUAGCCUAAACAACAAAACACAACAAAAAACUACCCAGUAUUCAACAAGUCAAUAAUCAAAAUAAAAGUUCAUCCCUAAAGAUCAAACUCAUCAUCACUAAAUUGAUCGCUCGUCUUCAUUCAAUCCUUCGUUAGACUUAUAGCCAUCAGUAUCUUCUUCUUCCAAAUCGAAGUCAUCUAAAUUUACUUGUUUUCGUUGCGUGGUAGACGAGGAUGAACAUGAAACAAUAGUCUUUGGUCUAGAGGUACUAGCUCUAGAAUAGAAUGAUGGUUCUUUUGCUCCGACAGCUCUAGAAACAUCACCCCACGUUAAAGAAUCAUCAUUAAAUACCAACUCAUCAUCCUCCUCAGAAUCGUCAUCCAAUCUUCCAAUCAACCAUUCAUUACUAUCAUCAAUAUCUUUCAAGGAGAUGGGGUCGACAAUAUCUCGUAGGUUGUAUCGACGUUUUAGUGCUCUGUUGUAUUUGAUGAACACUAGAUCAUUCAAACGACUUUGAGCAAGCCUAUUUCGUUUCUUGCUAUGAAGCUGAAAAAUUAGAAAGUUUCAUUGUCAGUGAAUCAACAAAUUUUGAUUAUCAUUCUCAAUGUACUUAAGGAGAGGAAAGGUAACCUGUUCAAACACACUCCAAUUACGCUCGCAUCCAGAAGCACUACAAGUAAGACCUAAAAUUCUCACAGCAAACUUUUGCAAGUUUGGAGUUGAUUGUCCAAAAUUAUCCCACCAUUCCACUAUAGGCACAAACAAAAAAAAA